UCUUCAGUGGGAGUGGUUAGUGGUAUAUAAUGCCCCACCAUUCACACAGUCAGUCAGUUGCACUUGGGAGAGCACAUAGGAACUACUGCUGUAUCUGUAAGUAUAGGACUUGGUCCCCUUUUUUCAAUUUAUAUUUAUUUUUAUUAUGAGAAUCUAAUUAAUAGUAGUUUAUUUAAUUCUAAUCAAUUAGUAAUUGGAUAGAAGGGGAAAAGGAGGAAAAAGGGAGAGAAAAAUAAUAAUAAUUAAAAAAAAAAAUCCACCCUAAUAGAUUAUAUCAAUUAAUGAUUUUCAGGUGGCCUAUUUCUCUCACACAUCAUUAUUUUGAGGCUCACCCAAAGUGGGAUAUUUACCCAUAUACCAUUUGGACCAGCGUGUUUUUUGGAAAGAGGUCCAUUGCUAAUUUAGUCUAAAGUGUUCAACACUAUUGAGCAUUAGAGUGUUUCAACCCAUUGAAUUCAUAUAUGGUUGCUUCAUGGACUGACCAUUUGCUGUGUUGACCAUCCCUCUGAAGAAGUCCACGAAGGACGAAACGCGUCAGGGUUGAAGACAGAGAGAAAAGAAACCCUACACUAUUGUACAUUUGACAUAUAUUGUGAUCUGUAAUUGUGAAAAAGGGUUACCUCUGUCUAGAUUGGGCAAUACUUUGCUUUUAAUAAAUUGUGU